UUCUCACAACCAAUCUUUGUUUCCUGCAAUGACGAGCUGGAGGAGUCUGUUUUUCUUCAGAAUUUCUGGCUCCCUCUUCCUUGGUUUUAUCUCAGAGGGGAUAUAAAUGUGUGACUUCUGUACAUAUUUGUACGUGGAAAUGCAUUUUUGCCAUUGUUAGCGAUGGAUAUGGUAAGUGGUCAGGUGAUGAUAACAAUGAGAAUGACGAUUGUCGAUGUGAAUGAUGAGGGUUGAAGGCUAAUUCUCAUUUAUGAGGAGGACAGUCCCCCACAGAAUAACUGCUGAGAAUACCAGCAGAGUUGUGCCUCGGAGGUUACGGAGAGCUGGGAAUCCAUCGACGGAGUGAUUAAACGGCGUGAGACCGGGCCCCCCAAGGAGGAGGUGAUAAUUAUACCAAUGAAGGAGUGGGCGUCCCUGGAGUAGGAGGUGGCAUGAAAAACAGAGCGUGCGACGUCUCCAUCGGCGAAGGCAGCCACUUCAUCACAGACCCAUCAUCCCCGGGGAAAACGGAGCCGGUCUCAUAUCCACUUCAGACGAAGUAAAAAGGAACCAUAGAGCCAUGGACAACAGUCUGCAUUCUGAUCCAACGCCUGACCACCAGCAAAAGGGUGCAAAUGAGACAGGACCUCAGAGUCUUCCUGUAAUGGACGCAGGUGGUGGUAUUUUAGUAAUUUGCCACUCCAGUAUGACUGUGAAGAGAGAAUCUGCCCGUAACACAGCCUGAUUUGACACUCUCGUAUGAAAUGUGAUGGUUAGUUUAAAAAUGAAGUUCCUCGGCUGUUGAAAAGGCAGACAUUUAACUUUUGAAAUGCAACUUUAUUCAGCACAAAUGUUACAGCAUUUCCAUCUGCAUCUCUAUCUGCCCUGACCUUUACAUCUUGCACUUUCCUGUGUUUCCU